rnacentral:lncRNA from 1 species
AGGAGGAAGAAGAAGAAGAGGUAUCUUUCUUCUUCUAUAUAUGUAUAUAUUUCUUUUCUCUUGUUAGGUGCAAUUAUAUGAACUGGAACACUUGAUGUCUCCCUGUGGGACUUUGCUGCCUUGUUGUGCUAAGAAUUGAGUCUCUUUCCACUUCCUAAUCUGAUGUGAACAGCUCCGGAGCAAAGUGGCAUUCUGGGUUCUGGGAAAGCUUCACGUGGACGCAUCUCUUGUGUUCUAUCACAUAUGCUGCUGCAUUUUGCUCAGAUGAUGACACCUUGCUAUAUUGUCUGACAGGUUCAGAUCUGGUGAAAGAGGAGAAGAAAUUGUUGGUAUGAUCAUCAGGGUAACUUGCUCAACUAAUUGCAUGACUCCAAUAAAUUGCAUGAAAUUGUUGCAAUCAUAUAAAGCUUUCAGCUAGGGUUUCUUAUGUAUAUUUUGUUUUAGAGGUCAACACAGGGUUAAGAUGGUGCACAUAAAAUAUAGGUAUUGUGAUUGAUGGAGACAGACACAAGGGUUGACCAAAAGGAUGACAAUGCAACCUAUAGGUAUUCAGGGAAGUUGAUACCCUAAUGUGGAGUUACUACUGCCUUUGGGUGCUACACAGUUGAGGAUAUGUGGAGACAAUUAAAUGUGGUGACUGUUGUAGCCCUUUGCUUUAAAAGACAGUUCCAACAUCUCAUAGAGCUCAAGGAAUGAGAGACAAGUUUAGUCCUCCUAAAUUGCUGCCAGAUUUGGUAGAUUAGUUUCACUUUAAGACAUUUGACUUGAAAUUAGAGGAUGUUUUGUGUCCAGUGAUAAGUUAUCGAUUAUGAAUGAUCAAUCACAUGAUUGUUAUUGGAUAAUCAUAGUUCAAGUCAUGGAAACAAUUUGUCUUUUCACGGGAAUAGAGAAUAUUAUACUUAUUGGUCUUUUUUAGAUUCUAAGAAUAACAUUAUCAGUAGGGUCUUUUUUGAGCUGAAGUUCUGGAAAUGAUUUUUUUCUUCA